GCAAGUCGAGCGCUCUCUUCGGAGGGAGCGGUGGACGGGUUAGUAACGCGUGGGAACAUACCCAGAUCUACGGAAUAGCCUCGGGAAACUGAGAGUAAUACCGUAUACGCCCUACGGGGGAAAGAUUUAUCGCGUUUGGAUUGGCCCGCGUUGGAUUAGGUAGUUGGUGAGGUAACGGCUCACCAAGCCGACGAUCUAUAGCUGGUUUUAGAGGAUGAUC
rnacentral:rRNA from 1 species